GACGAACGCUGGCGGCGUGCUUAACACAUGCAAGUCGAACGGAAAGGCCCUGCUUUUGUUGGUUGCUCGAUUGGCGAACGCGUGAGUAACACGUGAGUAACCUGCACUUGACUUUGUGAUAACUUCAGGAAACUGGGUCUAAUACCGCAUAUGAUCUCCUGCUGCAUGUUGGUGGUUGGAAAGUUUCGGCGGUUGUGGAUGGACUCGAUGCUUAUCAGCUUGUUUGUGGGGUAGUGGCUUACCAAGGCUUUGACGGGUAGCCGGCCUGAGAGGGUGACCGGGGACAAUAGGACUGAGGUAGGGCACAGAAGCCUACGGGACGCAGUAGUGGGGAAUCUGACAGAACGGGGGGAAGCGUGAUGCAGCAACGCUGGGUGCGGGAUGACGUCUUACGGGUUGUAAACAGAUUUCGCAUGAGAUGAAGAGAGCGUGACGGUAAUGAGUAAAGAAGCAACGGCUAACUACGUG
rnacentral:rRNA from 1 species